rnacentral:rRNA from 1 species
GACGUAGGGCGCGAGCGUUGUCCGGAUUUAUUGGGCGUAAAGAGCUCGUAGGCGGCUCGUUGCGUCGGCUGUGAAAAACCCGCAGCUCAACUGCAGGCUUGCGGUCGAUACGGGCAGGCUGGAGUUCGGUAGGGGGAGACUGGAAUUCCUGGUGUAGCGGUGAAAUGCGCAGAUAUCAGGAGGAACACCGGUGGCGAAGGCGGGUCUCUGGGCCGAUACUGACGCUAAGGAGCGAAAGCGUGGGGAGCGAACAGG